CGGCUGCGGCAAAGCCCCAAGAGUCCGGCCUCAGCCACUCAGCUCCACAACCUCCCAGGUUUCCUCCUUGUGGAUGCACAACCCGGUGGGAGGCUCCGUUCCUCCCGGCGGCGCGGAGGCCUCCGAAGGACCCCGGGGAGCGGGCUGGGAACGGGCUUUGCGGGGCUGGAGAGAAGGGUGAGGGCGCGAGGGGCGGGAGCGGCGAGCAAUGAAGAGCCGGCGGCGGCGGCGGCGUGAGUACUGCAAGGUAGCGCUGCUGUUGGUGCUGUACACGCUAGUGCUGCUGCUCGCCCCUUCCGUGCUGGACGGCGGUCGAGACUCAACCCGGGGCGCCGGGCAUUGCCCGGGCCUGCAACGCAGCCUGGGGAUGUGGAGCCUCGAGGCGGCCGCGGCGGGCGAGCGCGAGCCGGCUGCCGAGGGGGGCGCGGGCCAUGCCCCGGGGGCCCCGCGCAACUCCAGUGCCGCCAUCGGGGAAGCGGGGCCCCGCGCCAAACAGCACGUCUACGUGCAUGCCACCUGGCGCACCGGCUCGUCCUUCCUGGGCGAGCUCUUCAACCAGCACCCAGACGUCUUUUACCUGUACGAGCCCAUGUGGCACCUGUGGCAGGCGCUGUACCCCGGCGACGCUGAGAGCCUCCAGGGCGCCCUGCGGGACAUGCUACGCUCCCUCUUUCGCUGCGACUUCUCGGUGCUGCAGCUGUACGCGCCUCCGGGGGAUCCCGCCGCGCGCGCCUCGGACGCCGCCAACCUCACCACCGCCGCGCUCUUCCGCUGGCGGACCAACAAGGUCAUCUGCUCGCCCCCUCUGUGUCCCGGCGCGCCCCGCGCCCGAGCCGACGUCGGCCUGGUGGAGGACACCGCCUGCGAGCGCAGUUGCCCGCCCGUGGCCCUGCGCGCGCUGGAGGCCGAGUGCCGGAAGUACCCGGUGGUGGUCAUCAAGGACGUGCGCCUGUUGGACCUGGGCGUGCUGGUGCCCCUGCUGCGUGACCCGGGCCUCAACCUGAAGGUGGUGCAGCUCUUCCGCGACCCGCGGGCGGUGCACAACUCGCGCCUCAAGUCCAGGCAGGGGCUGCUUCGCGAGAGCAUCCAGGUUCUGCGCACCCGCCAGCGGGGCGACCGCUUCCACCGGGUGCUGCUGGCUCACGGCGUAGGAGCCCGGCCGGGGGGACCCGGCCGCGCGCUAAACCCUGCGCCGCGCGCCGACUUCUUCUUGACGGGCGCGCUCGAGGUGAUCUGCGAGGCCUGGCUGCGAGACCUGCUGUUCGCCCGCGCCGCGCCCACCUGGCUGAGGCGCCGCUACCUGCGGCUGCGCUACGAGGACCUGGUGGGCCAGCCGCGCGCCCAGCUGCGCCGCCUGCUGCGCUUCGCCGGGCUGCGGACGCUCCCGGCGCUGGAUGCCUUUGCGCUCAACAUGACGCGAGGCGCGGCCUACGGCGCGGACCGGCCCUUCCACCUGUCUGCGCGCGACGCCCGCGAGGCCGUGCACGCCUGGCGCGAGCGCCUGAGCCAGGAGCAGGUGCGCCAGGUGGAGGCCGCCUGCGGCCCGGCCAUGCACCUCCUGGCCUACCCUCGCAGCGGGGAGGAGGGCGGCUUCGAGCUGCCCCGGGACCAGGACACGCCGCUGGAGACCGAGGCUGAAGGUGCCACGUAGCCCACAUCACCUGCAUCCCCGGAUCCGAUCAGGCCUCAGUUUCCAGAAUAGCCAACUGUUGGCAUGAUGGCUGCUGCACAUAAGAAACGGUACACAGUGGAAGACUGGCCGGUUGCCCAGACUGGCUGGGCAGUGGCGCUCCCAGUUGAGCACACACAUUACAGUGCACAAGGAUUCAGGUUUCAGCCCUGCUCCCCACCUGCAGGGGGGAGAAGCUUCACGAACGGCGAAGCAGGUCUGCAGGUCUGUCGCCAUAAACGGAGCAUUCGGCAUGUUGUCCCAGCAGCAGAGAAGUUACACUGUGGAGAGGCGAUCGAUCAGACCCUCAGAGACUGGGCCCUGACUUGGUACCAAACUGCUGUGUAAUUCGGAGAGGAGUGGGGAUAUCAUGAGCUGCUGAAUAAUGACCAACACACUGGCUGAAACGAAGUUUCCAGUAAGGAAGUGAUAGUGCAAUGCAGAUAGUUGCGAGCAUAAAACAGGAAGAACUUGAAUUCCCAGCUGAAAGCACAUGAAUGCCCAGCUGAAACGUGCCUCUGCUGGAGCCAGUUCCACAAGGCAGCCUCAGAACAAAGAAGAGAAGUGAUUUGGUACCAAUUCCCACCAGGAGGUGUGUGGACAAACCAUGAAUGUGAACAAGGCAAAAGUGCAGUCCUGUGUACCUUGAUUAAAUGACUUAGUGCUAAACAAAAGGCAAUGGGCAGUAUUGUUUUAAACCUGGCUCAGCCAGCUUUCCUUCCUCAGAUAGGUCCUCCCUGCCCCCAACCCUAAAAAAAAAAGGAAAAAGAAAGCAGUAAUUUUUCUUGCUAAGAUGGGGGGGAGCUAAAGAAAUGCAACAGCUCCUUUGCUUUUGACUUACUCUGUGGUUUUUGUAAUUAUGCCAUUAAACGACCCUGGAGUCAUGUUAAUGACA